GAUGAAGAACGUAGCGAAAUGCGAUAAGUAAUGUGAAUUGCAGAAUUCAGUGAAUCAUCGAAUCUUUGAACGCACAUUGCGCCCGCUGGUAUUCCGGCGGGCAUGCCUGUUCGAGCGUCAUUUCAACCCUCAAGCUCUCCGGAGUUUGGUGUUGGGGCGCCUGGGGCUUUUCGACCUCAGGGCCCUCAAGUCCAUCGGCGGGACCGCCAGGACACUGAGCGCAGUAGUAUUAUUUCGCUCGGUAGGAUCUUCCACGGCGGGUCGAUCUGGCCGCUAAACCCCCCAAUUCUCACCAAAGGUUGACCUCGGAUCAGGUAGGAAUACCCGCUGAACUUAAGCAUAUCAAUAACGGAGA
rnacentral:misc_RNA from 1 species